CUAUUGAAUUGUUAGGCUGGAUCUAACCAAGAGGUUGCAGCUGAGCUAGCUUGUAGCAGCAACAUUGUGGUUCAGUUUUCAGGUCACUGUUUCUGUUUCUAGCCUUGUCUUGGUUCUAGACUCUGUGUACUCAUUAAAUGACUAAACCCGCUAAGAACUGUGUCUUUGGAUGCUGAGGACCUAUCUAAAACAGUUCCCUUUGACAUCUACCAUCCCUCAACGCAGUAGCCACAUAACCAUCUUCUGGUAGGGUGGGAGGAAGAUGAUGGUGAGAAUACAGCAAAAUGGUGUAUUUGGAAAUAUGAAAAAUUCACCAAACCCCCACCCACCACCCCAAGAAGCCUCUGUUUUUUUAUGCUGACCCCUGUCCAAUUAGAUCCAGUUACAGUUCAAAACACCAUCCGCCCCAGUGCCUGUGCUCUGAAAAAUGUAGGUUUCUGCCUGGUUCUCCUCACAGUGCCAUUGUAUGGAUAAUAUUGGGAAGACAGAACUAUGUAUAUGGCCCGGAGUUCCUUAGAUGGAAUAAAAAACCAGUAGAUUUGCAGUUGGCACCUGGAGUUCAAACACAUAUGGCCCUUGCAUAUAACAGGGCACUUAAAUGGUAAAGUGCAAAGUUUUCAAAUAGCAUUUUAUGCUAAUUUUAAUAACAGUUUACUGCUGAAAAGGUGGGAUGGGGAGGGAAGGAAGAGUAGAAUUAUGAUCAAAAUGAUUUAACAGCCAGAUCAAAAAUGAAAGGCCCCAACUCCCAAAUUUCUGAUGUCAAAUUGCUUUUGCCAAAGCAAAAGUUUGUGCCAAAGCCCUGUUGGAAUAAAAAGUAGGAUGCUGUUUCUGUGGGACUGACUAACACAAACAAGUUGCAUCUUCUCAGAAGGAUCCUGUUACUAUUUGACAGCUGAUCCCUCCUUUUGAGGUUUCACAGAGCUGCCAGGGACAGGUCACGGAUAAACCUUUUCUUCUGGUGACGUUCUUUAGGAAGGGCUUCAAAGACUCAGCCGCUUUCAUCCAAGUGGCUGCCUUGUUAAAGAUAAAAACAAAAAAAGGCAAGUGCCCAGUUUUAUUGGUUAAUAAUACAACCACAAAGGCCAAAAUGUAUCUCUGACCAGGAUUUUGUGCACUCUGGGCUUCAAUUUUCUACCUUACCGGCUUUUAAUAGUCAUACAGGACUACCAUGAGCUUAAGACAGUGAACCUACAUCCUUCAGCUACUGGAAAUUCAGCUGUUCUAUUUUUCAGCAGCUUAUUGCCCAUGUAACUAUAUAAACCUCACAAGGGCUAAAAACUUUUCCUUUUAUGAAAUGGAAGCUGAGAAUUCAAGGAAGGUUAAAUCUGUACCUAACACCAUUUCAACUAUUAUUCUUUUUUGCAGUCCUGCAGGCUCACAGCUCUGAAUCUGGUAUUUGCAAUUCACCCAUCCCAUUAUCUGUGUCAAUGCAUUUAAAGUAAUGAUUCCCAAAACUUUUUGAAUUGUAACCCCCUUGGCUCCCAGGCUACAUACCUCCCCACCCCCCACCCCCCCCACACACAUGAACACACCUCUUCAUUUAGCAUUUGUGACAGCAAAUUGAUUUCUGUUCUAAUUGAUACCUGCCAGGCCAUAUUGACAAAAGUUAGGUCUACACUCAAGUGAAAGUAAUGGGUAGACCUGGCCUCCACAGAGGACAGAUCUACCCAAUGCUCCUUAAUGGGGGAUAACCAGCCCUCCAAGCGACUGCAGUUCUCUUUGUGAUUCUUCAGAGAUGUCAUAUUGAAAAGGAAAAAGACAUGUGCGUGUAGCUUCUGUUAAACAAGA